rnacentral:rRNA from 1 species
UACGUAGGGGGCAAGCGUUGUCCGGAUUUAUUGGGCGUAAAGAGCGUGUAGGCGGCUAGAUAGGUCCGUUGUGAAAACUCGAGGCUCAACCUCGAGACGUCGAUGGAAACCAUCUGGCUAGAGUCCGGAAGAGGAGAGUGGAAUUCCUGGUGUAGCGGUGAAAUGCGUAGAGAUCAGGAGGAACACCCGGGGCGAAGGCGGCCCUCUGGCUCGACCCUGACGCUGAGGCGCGAAAGCGUGGGGAGCGAACGGG